rnacentral:rRNA from 1 species
UACGUAGGGUGCGAGCGUUGUCCCGGAAUUAUUGGGCGUAAAAGAGCUCGUAGGCGGUGUGUCACGUCGGCCGUGAAAACCUGCAGCUUAACUGUGGGCGUGCGGUCGAUACGGGGCAUCACUGGAGUUCGGCAGGGGAGAACGGAAUUCCUGGUGUAGCGGUGAAAUGCGUAGAGAUCGGGAAGAACAUCGGUGGCGAAGGCGGCCUGCUGGGCUGUUGCUGACGCUGAGGCGCGACAGCGUGGGGGAGCAAACAGG